AUUGAACGCUGGCGGCAGGCCUAACACAUGCAAGUCGAACGAGUGGCGGACGGGUGAGUAAUGUCUGGGAAACUGCCUGAUGGAGGGGGACAACUACUGGAAACGGUAGCUAAUACCGCAUACCAUCAGAUGUGACCAGAUGGGAUGUGCUGGUUGGUGGGGUAACGGCUCACCAAGGCGACGCUCCCUAGGUGGUCUGAGACGAUGACCCGUCACUCGUGUACUGGGACGCGGUCCAGACUCCGACGGGAGGCAGCAGCCAGGAAUAUUGCGCAAUGGGCGCAAGCCAAUAGCAGCCAUGCCGCGUGUAUGAAGAAGGCCUUCGGGUUGUAAAGGACUUCCAGCGGGGAAGCGGUACCCGCAGAAGAAGCACCGGCUAACUCCGUGCCAGCAGCCGCGGUAAUUC
rnacentral:rRNA from 1 species